rnacentral:rRNA from 1 species
AUUGAACGCUGGCGGCAUGCCUUACACAUGCAAGUCGAACGGCAGCGCGGACUUCGGUCUGGCGGCGAGUGACGAACGGGUGAGUAAUACAUCGGAACGUACCCUGUUGUGGGGGAUAACUAGUCGAAAGAUUAGCUAAUACCGCAUACGACCUGAGGGUGAAAGUGGGGGACCGCAAGGCCUCACGCAGCAGGAGCGGCCGAUGUCUGAUUAGCUAGUUGGUGGGGUAAAGGCCCACCAAGGCGACGAUCAGUAGCUGGUCUGAGAGGACGAUCAGCCACACUGGGACUGAGACACGGCCCAGACUCCUACGGGAGGCAGCAGUGGGGAAUUUUGGACAAUGGGGGCAACCCUGAUCCAGCAAUGCCGCGUGUGUGAAGAAGGCCUUCGGGUUGUAAAGCACUUUUGUCCGGAAAGAAAUCGCGCUGGUUAAUACCUGGCGUGGAUGACGGUACCGGAAGAAUAAGCACCGGCUAACUACGUG